rnacentral:rRNA from 1 species
GGCGAUUUAUCUGGGCCUAAAGCGUCCGUAGCUGGCCCUGCAAGUCCGUCGGGAAAUCCACUCGCCUAACGAGUGGGCGUCCGGCGGAAACUACAGGGCUUGGGACCGGAAGACUUGAGGGGUACGUCUGGGGUAGGAGUGAAAUCCUGUAAUCCUGGACGGACCGCCGAUAGCGAAAGCACCUCAAGACGACGGAUCCGACAGUGAGGGACGAAAGCUAGGGUCUCGAAC